rnacentral:rRNA from 1 species
UACGUAGGGUGCGAGCGUUAAUCGGAAUUACUGGGCGUAAAGCGUGCGCAGGCGGUGAGCUGUGUCCGAUGUGAAAGCCCCGGGCUUAACCUGGGAAUGGCAUUGGAAACUGGCUCGCUGGAGUGUGGCAGAGGGGGGUGGAAUCCGCGUGUAGCAGUGAAAUGCGCAGAUAUCAGGAGGAACACCGGUGGCGAAGGCAGGUCUCUGGGCAUUAACUGACGCUGAGGAGCGAAAGCAUGGGGAGCGAACAGG